GCCCGUUAAAGUUUAGUUUGGUUUUGAAUGUGAGUUGGAGGUGACAUGCGUGAGGCGGAGUAAUUGUUUGAAACUCGCGGAAUAACUUAUUUCACUUUUUUGUGAAUGUGGUUGGUAACAUUUUAGUGUUGUGUUGUGAUAAAGUGAACUUGAUUUUGUUUCGGAGGACGAUUAUAAAGAGUCAAAACAAAGCUCUACCGGCUACGAUGAAGAGAGACAAGUAAAACACAGUGCGUCCAAAUUGAAAGAUGGACCAACAAACAUACCGGCGAACGAGGCGCAGGUGUUGCAGGUGAACAAGCCCCAACAUGGCGUGGUGGGCGCACGCUGUGCUGGCCGCGUGCCUGCUGUCAGUGGCGGGCGCCUACCUCAUUCUGGUCCCAGACACAGCACCGCCCGGCUACACAGUACUAGAUGCGGCGGUCUACAAACUCGGUUCUGAACGAGCAUACUCCAUCGACGUCCACCGCACUGCUAACUUCGUCCAUCAUAUCCUCCGAGUCAAUAGAACCAACGGCCUGGUCACGUUGCGUAAACGGCUACGAUGUGAUGGCGUCCUUUACCCCAACCUUUUCACGUUCUACGUGGACUCUACAUCCGAACGGAUUAGAGACAUAGACUACUACAGCUUACCUAUAAGAAUUCUAGUUAUAGGCGAAGAUUGCAGCAGACGUCAUGCUGAUUUGUACGACAUCGACUUCGAUCGCGUCUACGAUCAAAGCGAUUCUGCUAUGCAGUAUGAAGAUGAUCACUUUAGAGAUAAGAGAAAUGUUAUAUAUCAAGAGAGUAUAGACUGGCGGUUAUUAGAGGAAGAUGAAAUGAGAUCUAGUCAAUUUAGUGUUCUAUCUACUGCGUAUCCAUGGUCAAGUGCGAUGUUCGAAGAUUAUGUCGCUAGAAAUAGAAGUAGGAAGAAACGUUCUCUAUUAGUACCUUUCGACAUGGCCAUCGAUGUUAAAAUUGCGGAGGCUAAGCAGUGGAUAACGGAGACAUAUGCAAGCUUCUCGAUACCAACAACAGAUAGGUGGCAGGGCAUAUGCUUAAAGAAAUCGCAGUUCGUGAACUCAUUGACGGCAUUCUUGCCUCGGACGGUUCAAAAAAUGUGUAAAGUGCAAUUUCUAGAUGUUAGUGACCCCAGAUUUGUAAUAGAGAGUAGUCAAGGUGACUUGGUUGCCAUUGAUGAUGUGUGUAUACUAGAACCGAUGUGGAAAGUGUCCAUUCUAUUCACAUUCAAUUGUGAUCAAACGAACAUAGUUGAUUCGGAUCAUAGACUCAAGAUCGUGUAUCAUCAUCAGGAGUUAAACGAUACGGACAUAGCUAGAAGAGUGAAAAGAGAAUUGAGAAAUCAAUCUCCAUACUUUGAGCAGGCGCUUUAUGUAGCUUCUGUAGCUGAAGAACAACCUCCUGGUGUCAUCGUUACAACUGUUCGCGCACGUGAUCCAGAAAAUAGUCCAGUUACAUACUCGAUGUCCAGUCUUCUGGACUCACGGUCAGCGGGAAUGUUCGCUGUGGAUACGAGAACUGGUGUGGUUACCACUCAAGCAAGACUUGACCGCGAGAGGCUGGACGUCCACUAUUUCAGAGUGGUCGCGCAAGACGACACGUUCCCACCGAGAAGUGGUACUACCACUUUACAGAUUAAUGUGUUGGAUUGCAACGACCAUUCUCCUGUGUUUGAAAUGCAGCAAUAUGAAGCUUCCGUUAGGGAAGGUGCUAGCCCCGGUACCACAGUUCUUACUCUAAAAGCCACUGAUCAAGAUAUUGGCAAAAACUCCGAGGUGGAAUACUCAAUAGAUUCGGUAACAGCUGAUCUUCUAGACCCGGAAAACAACGAAUCCAUAGACAGUAAAGAAGUAUUAGACAGCCAAGAUGUGUUCCGAGUGGAUGGGCGAAGUGGUGCGUUGCUGACUCGAGCUUCCCUGGAUAGAGAGAAAAUGUCAAGAUAUACUGUAAUUGUGAAGGCUACUGAUCAAGCCAGCCCUGUGUCUGAUAGGCUCUCCAGCACCGCCACAAUACACGUCAACGUUUUAGAUGACAAUGACAAUUACCCGCAGUUUAGCGAGAAAACUUACACAGUUACUGUAGAAGAAGAUAUCAGUGUUGCAGAUAACCCAAUAAUCGCUAAAAUAAAAGCAAAGGACGCGGAUAUUGGCGCCAAUGCAGCUAUACGGUACGCGAUAAUUGGCGGGAACACACAGAUGCAAUUUUCAAUUGACAGCUUGAGUGGGGACGUGUCUCUGGUAAAGCCGCUCGACUACGAACAAGUCAGGAGCUAUCGACUGGUGAUACGAGCCCAAGAUGGCGGGAGUCCCUCACGAUCAAACACGACCCAGCUUUUAGUUAACGUAAAAGAUGUCAACGACAAUUCUCCAAGGUUCUAUACAUCUCUUUUCCAAGAGUCUGUCAGUGAGAAUGUCCCGGUUGGAUACAGCAUUGUUAGAGUACAAGCAUACGACGCAGAUGAAGGUGUGAACGCCGAAUUAACGUAUACGUUAAGCGAUAAGGAGUAUAAUGGCAACGCUGGACUUCCAAUUACCAUAGACCCAAGGUCUGGUUGGGUCUACACAUCGAGUUCAUUGGAUAGAGAGGUGCAAUCGAAGUAUCAACUACAGGUAACAGCCACAGACAACGGAACUCCUCCCCGAUCCGCCACAGCCUCCGUAGUCGUUGUGGUUCAAGACGUGAACGACAACGACCCGGUCUUCUCUCCAGCGCAGUAUGACGUGGAACUGGCCGAAGAUGAACCGCCUGGAACUCCCGUCGUCACGGUCACAGCUACAGAUGCCGAUGAAGAUAAUAGGCUUCACUAUGAAAUCACCGGCGGUAAUACCCGUGGCCGUUUCUCUAUAACAUCACAAAAUGGCCGCGGACUCAUAACUGUGGCUCAGCCGCUGGACUUCAAACAGGAGAGGCGAUAUGUCCUCACAGUUACGGCCACAGAUUCUGGUGGAAGAUCGGACACAUCCAUGGUCAAUAUUAAUAUAACUGACGCGAAUAAUUAUGCACCGGUUUUUGAAAAUGCUCCAUAUUCUGCUUCGGUAUUUGAAGAUGCGCCCAUAGGUACCACAGUGCUAGUGGUAUCAGCCACAGACAGCGAUGUAGGUGUCAAUGCACAGAUUACAUACACCCUCACAUCUGAGAUAUCCAAUGAGGCUGUAGCUCAUCAUGAGCAAGAGUUUCUGAUUAACCCUCAAACCGGAGCGAUCACUACAAACAAACUUUUGGAUAGAGAGACUAUGAGCGGCUAUUUACUAACAGUGACUGCCCGUGAUGGUGGCGUCCCAGCCUUAUCUGAUACGACGGAUGUUGAGAUAUCUGUAGUGGACGUUAAUGAUAACGAACCGGUGUUUAAGCAACAACUUUACACAGCUACUAUAAUGGAGGAUGCGUUAGUCGGGACUUCUGUGACUCAAGUGGGCGCAACAGAUGCUGAUGUGGGCCUAAAUGGCCGAGUGCAUUAUGAAUUAGAAACGCGCGAUCGGGAGGAGGGUUCGUUUGUCAUAGACCCAGCCUCUGGGGUCAUCCGGACCAAUAAGGCCUUGGACCGGGAAUCUGUGGCCACGUAUGACUUGAAGGCAUUGGCCAUUGAUGGGGGAACGCCGCCGCAGAGUUCUACGGUAAUAGUCCACAUAAAGAUAGAAGACAUCAAUGACUCACCUCCAGUGUUCGAAAGUGAUUGCCUCACCUACUAUAUCCCCGAGAACAGUCCGAUCGGGACUACAAUAGGAGAAAUAUACGCACGAGACCCUGAUGAAGGAGCCAAUGCUGUUGUCCACUAUUCUAUUAAAGGUGGAGACGAUUCCAACAGCUUUUCCCUGGAAACUCGUCAGGGUUCAGAGAAAGCUGAACUCGUGUCAAUGGUGGACCUUGACUACGAGAGUCCGCGAAAGAAAUACGAGCUAGUAAUUAGGGCUGCAAGUCCACCUCUUUGGAAUGACGUGAGAGUGGAAAUUCUGGUCACCGAUGUCAACGAUAAUGCUCCUAUGAUGAAGGACUUCCAAGUUAUCUUCAAUAAUUACAAAGAUUGUUUUCCCGUGGGACCGUUUGGAAGAGUUCCGGCGUAUGACGCUGAUGUAGCUGAUAAGCUGCAAUAUAGAAUUCUGUCUGGGAACAACGCCAACCUGGUUCUCAUAAACGAGACGACGGGUUCCAUGAACCUAUCACCUCAACUCAAUACAAAUGUUCAAAAGCUGGCCACUAUGGAAAUAUCUGUUACAGACGGCGUUAAUGAAGUAAAGGCAGUAAUGCAACUCCUAGUUCGACUGAUAACUGAAGACAUGCUUUUCAACUCAAUAACAGUGCGUUUAAACGACAUGACGGCUGAAAGAUUCCUCUCGCCUCUACUCGGGUUCUUCAUUGAUGGCUUAGCGGCUAUUAUUCCGUGCCCCAAGGAAAACAUCUAUAUUUUUAGCAUUCAGGAUGAUACAGACGUAUCUGGCAACAUUUUGAACGUAUCACUAUCAGCGGUACGUCCAGACGCCGAAGUCGGUACGUCGACGUACUACACACCUACGCAUUUGCGCGAACGAGUCUACUUACAUAGGACCACGUUGGCCAGGCUUGCAACUGUACAGGUCCUACCGUUUGACGAUAACGUGUGCGUCCACGAGCCAUGUCUGAACUUCGAAGAGUGUCUCACCGUACUGAAGUUUGGGAACGCGUCGGGUUUCAUCUACAGCGACUCGGUCCUCUUCAGACCAAUAUAUCCUGUGACCACCUUCACGUGUCAAUGCCCAAGAGGUUUUACAGGCUCUCGUGACCAUUACAUGUGUGACACGGAAGUAGAUCUCUGCUACUCAUCACCGUGCAUCAACAACGGCACUUGUAUUAGAAGGGAGAGUGGAUAUACUUGUGUCUGUUCAGCUGGAUUUACAGGUGUAAACUGCGAAACGGUCUUAACAAAUGCGACCUGCGACUUCAAUGGCGACGGCUCCAUAUGCCGGAGUGGGUCCCAAUGCGUGGCAAGAAGAGAAGGAGGCAUUCUGUGCCAGGGCUGCACUAUCGACGCAGCAUACACCACAUCCAUGUGCGAGCUGAAAGCCAGGAGCUUUCCUGCAACUUCCUUUUUGACAUUUCCCGGCUUGAAGAAGAGACACCGCUUUCAUUUGAAGUUAGACUUUGCAACUCAAGCGACAUCAGGUCUAUUACUAUACAACGGGAGAUACAACGAGCGCCAUGACUUCGUGGCGUUGGAAGUGAUCAGUUCAGGCGCGGGUAGGGGGGGUCCAGGGUUGAGAUUCUCCUUUGCUCUUGGAGGGGGGAGGAGCGAAGUCACCGUUGAAGGAGAUGUUGCUGAUGGGGUGUGGCAUAGUGUGGAAGUCGAAUAUUAUAAUAGGACGGCAACGUUGAUCUUAGACAACUGUGACAAAGCGUUAUCUUUGGCCGGAGCGGGCGACUUCGGAAUUAAGUACGCGUGCGCCAACUUCACGAGAAAGAUAUUGCCGCCUCGCUGCGAUAUGCCCACUGAGACUUGUCACAGUGUUUUCAUUCCCAGAUUUCUAGAUCUCACUGGACCACUGCAGAUUGGAGGACUCCCAAAUAUCCCGAGCAGUUUUCAAGUUAAAAACAAGGACUACGUCGGAUGUAUAUCAGAUCUGUACAUUGAUCAUAAGUUCAUCGAUUUGAACAGUUACGUAGCAGACAAUGGUACGCUAGCAGGAUGUCCCGAGAAAAGGUCUCAAUGCAGCAGUGCGCCAUGUUACAACGACGCGGAAUGUCAGGAUUUGUGGGACACCUUCCUUUGCAAGUGUCCCGAAGGAUUUACUGGCAAGGAAUGUGCUGAAUCAACUGCUCCACCUUGGCGCUUCAGUGGAGAUGGAAUGCUCUCCUUCAAUCCUCUCUUGCGGCCGAUACAACUGCCUUGGCUCAAUGCACUUUCAAUAAGAACGAGACAACACGAUGCCUUCCUCAUGUCCAUACAAGUUGGACAGAACAGCACCAUACUUGUUACCCUGAAAUCCGGCCUUUUGCACUAUUCAUAUAAUGGUGACACAAUGUUCCUUCCGUCAACAACAUUAGCUGAUGGCAACUGGCACAGAAUAGAGAUUAAAUGGAUGGGAACAGACAUAUCUGUGAACAUAGAUUACGGACUCAGAAACGCUCUAUUACCUAUGCUUGCCAACAAGAUUCAAGGACAGUAUAUUGGAAAAAUUCUGAUCGGUGGACCUGAUACUACAGCUGGGAUAUUGUCGUCGGAUGUUGGAUAUUUUGAAGGAUGUAUACAGGAUGUACGCGUAGGAACUGCUCAAUCUCUCCUCAAUCGCCCAACAGUGAGAGAAAACGUCCGUGACGGCUGUCAGUCUAGGGCUGACUGUUUGUUGUCUAUAUGUCCGCCAUAUAGUAAAUGCGUAUCGUCAUGGGACACGACGGAAUGCGAAUGCGAUCGCGGUCGCUUCGGACCCUCGUGCGUGGCCGCGUGCGAACUUCAGCCGUGCGGCGAACACGCCACUUGCGUACCGGAUGACAGCAAGAAGGGGUACUCCUGCAACUGCCAUGUCGGGUAUUCUAUGAAUGAAGGAGAAUGCGUAGAAGAGAACACAGAAGAACAGUGUCCGGGGGGCUGGUGGGGAGUGAAAGCCUGUGGGCCUUGCGACUGCGACGCUUCGAGGGGCCUCCACCCUUACUGUGCCACUAAGACUGGGGUCUGCCAUUGUAAGGAGAACCACUACAAACCCGAAGGUUCAGAGGACUGCAUCCCUUGCCAGUGCUACGCAGCCGGUUCAGUGAACAGUUCCUGCGCCAGUCUCACGGGGCAGUGCAACUGCCGGAGUGGCGUUAUUGGCAGAGCUUGCGACUCCUGCGCAAAUAUAUAUGCCGAGGUCACGCCCAAUACUGGAUGCAAAGUUGUUUACGACGGAUGUCCGAAAUCCUUUGCGGCCGGAGUUUGGUGGCCACGAACCAAAUUUGGCAUUGAAGCUAUCACCGACUGUCCUUCAGGGUCAAGUGGUAAAGCGACCCGUAUGUGCGAUGAGACCCAAGUGAUACCAUGGCAGGAACCGGAUAUGUUUAAUUGUACCACUUCUACGUUCUAUCAGUUGAGGAAGCAGCUUCACAAAAUAGAAACAGGCGAACUUACAAUGAACACGUUCGUUGGUGUACGUUUGGCCGAAGACCUUUCUGCGGCGUGCACGAACACGCAACAUCUGUAUGGCGCUGAUAUUUUAGUGGCUGAAGGGAUUUUGUUAGAGCUUGUACAAUACGAGUUGAGACAAGGCGGAUUGAACCUAACGCAUAGUCAGGAUAAAGAUUACGUUCGGAACAUAAUAAAAUCGUCAAACACAAUCUUGGACCUAAACUAUCAAAAAGAGUGGCGACGCAUCAGCGAUUUGACAGGAAAGGGCGCAGAACAUUUGGUGCAACAAUUCGAUAAAUAUAUAUCAGUCCUGGCUGAGAGUCAACACGACACCUAUACUAGCCCCUUUGAGAUUGUUACCAGUGAUAUGGCUAUCGGCGUAGAUAUAGUAACAGCCGAAUCAAUAUAUGGCUUCGAGCCAACACAACUUAGCCGAAUCAUUGAGGGGUAUACCACGGAGAGAGUAGUUCUUCCCGAUACAUCAUCAUUCGUACACUCUCCCAUACAAACAAUGGGCUAUUACGGCAUCAAUAAGUCAAAGAGCAAGAAACCCAGCAGCCCCACGGUGUCCUUCCCGAAGUACAAUAACUACGUCAAGAGCAAGAAUAAAUUCGACAAGUUCUCAAGAGUUCUGUUGCCGCUGGAUUUGAUUGGGAUUAACAAUGUUCAAGAUAAUUUAGACACAAUGGAAUCUCGCGCAGUGUUCUCCUACCUCCAAUACUCGAGGAACUCCUCUCAGCUGAUGCCUCUCCGUAUGGAUGAGUCCGUGAGUCGGCGUUGGGGAGUUAACAUCACCGUCGGGUCUCCCAUACUUCAAGUUUCCUUAUUCGUCCCAGAAUAUGUUUGGAUGAAGGAAGCUAAGGAUGUUGAGGAUUCGGCUAAUACUAUGGAAGAUCUUGAUGGUAUCGCGUACGUAAAUAAAGGCAAUCCCCAAAAUCAAAACGACAAAAACCCAUGGAAUCCAGAUAACUCCAUACAAGACACUCACGGACCAAUAGUCAUCCAGCCAGCGUUUAAAAAACAGGAUAAUUACGCAGAAACGCAAGAAGAAAAUAUUAUGGCAGAAAAGCUGGAACAACCGAAAGCCUUAGCUUUGACCGUGGAGACGGGAAAUAUGAGUAUGGGAAGAAAGUUGGUUUAUAAAAGUUUGAAUGGGAUAAGACUGAAGAAGCCGAUACGAUUGCAAUUGUGGCUUGAUAUCAGCAGAGAGACGUUUGGCUCGAGGACAAAUCCGCAGUGCGUUCAUUGGUCUAUGGCAAGAGGGUCAGGUGAGUGGUCCCGCGUGGGAUGUCAUACAGAAAUUGACUAUAACUGGUCUCCAUACUCCAAUGACCCUCUUCUCAUCAACUGCACUUGCAACCAUCUUUCUACCUUCGCUAUUUUGGUGGAUGAAGUGGAUAUAGAGUUUAUCCCAGAACCAUCUCUUCUUGAAUCGGUUACUUCAUACACGGGAUUCAGUAUAUCCCUCCCAUUACUCCUUUGCACAUGGGCAGCUUUAUCGCUCAUGCGCGGUGGUGCGGCGACCGUGUCAAACUCCAUUCAUAAACACCUUAUUUUCUGUGUGUUCAUGGCGGAGCUUCUGUAUUUAAUCGCUUUGAAAGCAAGGAAUUCCUUGGUUCAGAAUGAGUUCGCAUGCAAAGUAAUAGCAAUGUCCCUCCACUAUUGGUGGGUGUCCGCGCUCGCGUGGAGCGCGUGCGACGCGUGGCAAGUACGCAGACUCGUACGCGAAGUACGGGACGUCAAUCACGGACCUAUCGCGGCCCAUCUCGCCGUUGCGUACGCAGCACCCGCCGUCGCCUUAGCGUUGGCCGCUGCCCAUCAUCAGCAGCAGUAUGGGAAUUCGCUAUUCUGCUGGGUGAGUUGUCACGAGGCAGUGGUGUGGUGGGUGGUGAUACCAGCGGGCGCGUACGCACUAGCGGCCGUUGUACUACUCGCGGGCGCCACGAGAGCUGCCUUCACUGUGCGGGACCAUGUUAUUGGAUUCGGGAAUUUGAGGAUGUUACUAGCCGUGAGCAUUAUCUGCCUGCCACUAGUCUGCCUGGCAUGGGCAAGUGGGCUCAUCCUGGGCAGUGAGGCAGGUGACAGGCGGAAUCUGCUCAGCUCCAUCCUGGCUGGGGCAGUGGCUUUGCACGCGGCUGCUGCUUCCCUCGGAUACAUCGCAUUUAAUAUUCGAGUACGGGAUAAUCUUAAAAGAACAAUUCUAAGAUGUCUCGGAAAGAAGGUGCCCUUAGCCGAUACUUCUGUUAUAAUAAGCACCAGUGCCCAGAAUUUAUCGCAGACAAAUAGGUCAUCAUUGGCCUACCACAGCGGAACGGAAGGUCGCCAACUUCGGAAUAUUGGUAUCUCUGCUUCAUCCACCACCUCAAGGUCUACCACGAAGACCAGCUCAAGUCCUUACAGAAGCGACGGUCAACUCCGCCAUACCAGUACAUCCACGUCCAACUACAAUACGAGUGCUAGUGACAUGCCAGCUUAUUUGAGAGGGUUCGACUCCUCGCUACAUAAAAGGAAAGAUGAUGAUCGUCGCCGGCGUCGCAAACCAACCACAGAUAACGAAACAACAGGGGAGACAGGGGAUGGCACGGAAGCCACGGACAGUGAGAGCGAGGGUAGUGCCAGGAGUCUGGAUCUUGCCUCCAGUCAUUCCUCUGAUGAUGAUGAAACUAGUACUAGAAGAUCGGAUCAUCCACCAUCUGUUAACAGGGACAGAGGCAGCAGUACAGGCGGAAGUUACUUACCAAACAUCACAGAGGGCGCUCCUUUAGGUGUUCCACCUCGUUGGCCUUCGCAUAUAAGAGAGGAAACAAAUCGGCCGGAAGGUCGCUGGUCCCAAGAAACGGGGUCGGAUGACCAGGCUUCCCCAUCUCCGAACCCGUUGCCUAACCCGGAUCUUACAUCUGACGUAUAUCACCUAAGCAGGCAUCGGAUGAAACCGUCAAUACUAGAGAAUGUACACGACACAUAUGUUGCCAGCGUCGACGCUUCGAGAUUGCCUUUGGAUAAUAGAUACGGAACCAUGGAAGACGAACUUAUGUAUGGAGUUCUACCGACCGAUACUGACAAACAAAUGCCAUAUGACCCCACAUACCCCAUAUCCCCCACCAUGUAUCGCCUUCCCACUAACCCCUACGGCUCUAAAACCUACCUUUCCUCCCGUACCUCAGACUACGGUUACAGUCCCACGAAAUACUUAAACGCGGACACAUAUGGCUCCCGGGAUUUCCGCGAAUCGGGGGUGACAUCCCGGGAACACGAUGGCUACCAAAGGGAUUUUCGGGAUUCUGGGAUAGCCACGAUGCUUAAAAACGACUAUCAAAGGAAAAUAGAGGGGCAUUAUGGAGAAUAUACGGAACGAAUGUCCGACGGUUCGGAGAAGCAUACACACGAUAAAUACCAUUUUCCAUAUACAGCCGAAGAAGACCACAUAACGUUGCGUGGGAUCACCCACUCAUCACAAGCUCCUAGUAGUGAUAGCGCAGCAGAUGGACAGCAACAAAUGGGGGCACCGUUAGCAAGUAUGGGUGAAACCAGCGAAUGGUGGCGGUUAUAUGAGAAACACUCAUUGUAAAUCAUCUUUUGCUUUGCUAACUGGUGUUGCUGCACGCAAAAUCAUCAACAUAGGGAGGAGGAAAUCUACUACUGAAGAUGACACAGAAACAAGGGUUUAGAACAAUAGUACAAGAUUUCCAAUGAAUCUCAAUUAGUUUAGUAAUUUAUUUUUACUGUGUAUAACAUUUAAGAUAGCUCUUAUUUUUGUAAAGACUGUCCCUGAUACCCACAGGCACUGCCAUAUUGCUAGAGUAUUUUAGUUUUGUCUAUGCUUUAAUAGAGAAUAAUUCUAAUGUAUAAGAAAUUAAUGUCAAAGGGAAUUGUGGAGCUGGUAAAAAUGUAUUCUUGACAACUUAAAUACAAAAGUAAAUUCAUUAUAUUUAUAAAUGAAAAUUAAAAGUGAAAUGUGCGUUUUAUCAGUUCCACUGCUCUUAGAAAUAGGAAGAUGGUUUAACUCAAUAUAAAUCCCAAAGUCAGUGUGUCGUGUAAAUAAUAUUAAUAUAAAAUGUAUAAAUAAGAUAUUUUUGUAUAACACCAAAAGAUAAGAUACAAAGCAUACAACUUACAUCAAACUUUAAGAUCGCAGUGAAAUGUAAAAAGCAAAAUACUUAGAACUUUCUAAAACAAGCACUCGUAUUCUGUAACUCGCAAUAGCGAUAGCGAUCCCGACUUUAAUGUUGAGUUUUUGUACCGCGCAAUCCUAAGGUUGUGAUGUCAGCGGGUAAUGAGAGACUACAUCAAAAUUGCAUGCAAGCAACGUGGUAAGUAAACAACGAAGCUUUUUUAGUUAGUUUAUAAUCAAAAAUUAUAUCUUUGGCUUUUUUGAAUUUCUUAAAUAUUUAAAUUCUCUCAAUCUGACAGUUCAUUUAAGGUGCAUUAAGAAUCUACUCUAUGCCCCUUGUCUAUGAUUCAAUAUUGAAACGCUACUUCACAUAGUUAAUAAAGUUUGUAGCUAAUUUGUCCUAGUUUAGAGUAAGACAAAAUUAAUAUGCAAACAUAAUAAAAAUACUCUUGGUGUAAAUAUCUAUUGAUGAGCGUGUUGUGUGCAUUUUUAAUGUUUUACGAAGAGUCCACCUAUUUUGUAAAUACUUAUGUUAACGCAUUGCAUUCUAGGAAUUAAUUAAGUAGGCAAUUAUUGAAAAGCUUUAUUUAUGUAGGAUAAAUAUUUUGCCAUAAUGAUUGAGUGUGCACUCUAUGGUUUUUUUUUGGUUCAGUAUUGCCAACUUAUCUCAGAGAUGCUAAAAUUUAUGGAUUUAAAAGUUGCUGUAAAUUAUGUUAUCAUUAAAAGUGAAAGUUAAAUUAAACAAAAUUAUUAAAGAUGAAGAAUCAGAUUAAUUUUACAAUAUAAAAUGUAGAUCUUUGUUUUGUUCAUAUAUAAUAUUGAAAUCCGAAAAUAUAUAAAGUUUUACGUGGCCUUGCAGUCAAAUAACUUUCGACUGAAGAUAUUUUUUUUAAUAAUCCUGCAUUUAGUAAAAGUCCAUAAAUAUGUAUGGGUAUGUAUGUUGUUUUUCGGGUUAGUUGGAAUGGAUUCAAUAUUAUAUUCACAAUUAAAUUGCUCAAUAAAAAAGUAUAAAAAUAAUGAAUUGAUAAAUAUACAUUUUUAUAAUAUGCUUUUAAUUUAUGAAUGUAGCUCAUUCGACGUUUUAUCAUUUUUAGCUUCAUAGCAUAAUGAAAAGGAUAUUAUUAAUGUACACUUAAAUCAGGAGUUAUAAUAAUAGUAGGUAAUAGUGAUACUGUAAACACAUUCCAUUUUAUAAAAUUAAAAAUAUAUUGUAAAAUU